rnacentral:tRNA from 1 species
UCCGGGGUCGUCUAUCGGUAGGACGCCACGCUCUGAACGUGGAGAGGGAGGUUCGAUUCCUUCCCCCGGAGCCA